GAUGAAGAACGUAGCGAAAUGCGAUACGUAAUGUGAAUUGCAGAAUUCAGUGAAUCAUCGAAUCUUUGAACGCAUAUUGCGCUCUCUGGUAUUCCGGAGAGCAUGCUUGUUUGAGUAUCAGUAAACUCCUCAACUCCCUUUUCUUUUUUGAAAUUGGAGCUGGACUUGAGUGAUCCCAACGCUUUCUUCCAAGAAAGUGGCGGGUUGCUUGAAAUGCAGGUGCAGCUGAACUUUUCUCUGAGCUAUAAGCAUAUCUAUUUAGUCUGCCUAAAAAACAGAUUAUUACCUUUGCUGCAGCUAACAUAAAGGAGACUAGUUCUUGUGCUGACUGAUGCAGGAUUCACAGAGACAGCUUCGGCUGACUUUGUAAACUCGAUCUCAAAUCAAGUAAGACUACCCGCUGAACUUAAGCAUAUCAAUAAGCGGAGGA
rnacentral:misc_RNA from 1 species